UCUCUUUAUUAGGCAUAGGAUUAACAAUCACACUAGACGAUGCCAGGAACUAUAGAUGCAACACAUACUGUAAAACAAUGAUGAAAUGUUUUGAUGGAACUUGUGAUAGUUCAAAGAAAAAGUGUCUCUGCCGAUACUGUUCAUCGAGGAAUACAGUCCUGAACUAAAGACUUCAUUUAAUUCGUGUUAUUUUUGUCUGACUGUCUGUAGCUGCCAAAUUUUUCUAAAAAAAUAAAAUUGUAAAUUAA